GGUGAAACCUGAUUGUAGGUGAAGACCCCAGCAUAUUGGAGAUUCCAGAACCAUGGGAUGAUCACCAAGAAAAGCAUCAGGGAAUUAGAGUCAAUAAGAGCUUAGACUGCUAUAGAGGACAGAGCUAGAGAAGUGGCAAAACCCUUUGGAGGAGCCCAGAAAAUCAUGUGUGGAUCCUAGACAUUCAAACAAGAUGCUAUAAAGGUUAAGUUGUCUUGGAUGCCACAAGAUGUUAGAGAUACCAGAGUUGUAGGCAAACUGCUGAAGAAAGUUUGCAACAGGGAAUGGAAGAACAGAGAAUGAAGAAGUUUCUUGCUGUUAAAUGCAGGAUCUGGCAAUGGAAGUGAACAAGGAUGGAAAGACUCAGAAAUCUGACGAUUGCUUUGGCUUUGACACCAGACAUGGAGAUGCAGAUUUUGGAGUUUGCUCAGGGAACAUGUACAAAAUAUUAAAAAGUACCCAAGAGUCAAGUAUGGAGAAAGUCUGGUAACAAGAGAUCCAGGAGACAUGGGCUAAAUGUUUCUUUAACUCUUUAUCUCUUCAUAAAAACAGUUCACUAUGAGCUGUUGGCUCUUGGAGAAGACUGGUGAG
ensembl:lncRNA